UUUAAAAUCCCUUCCAGUUUAUAAAGUCUGAUCUAUUCUACCAUUUUAUAUGUUUUCAUAGCAAAGAUCAAAUUCUGGGAGUUUACAUUUCUGAAACUUGGGUCAAGGUCCUGACCAAUCCUCAAAAGAGCAACUGUGUGGACAUCUGUGGCAAUGGUAAGAGUUCUUUAGUGGCCAGUCAGCUCUGUUGUUCUCUCCAGCUAAAUGAAGUCAGAUUCACUGAAUCCCAAGACAAGGAACUCUUUGAUAAUGGGCUAGAGGAAAGUGUGAAAGAAUGGUUUAGAACUAAUUCAAGAAAGAACAAUCUGAUUCCCACUUGGAGGAGGACGCAGGAGCUGAAUCAGAUGGGGCUGUGGUGCCUGGGGAGGAGGAAAUUGUGAGUACUUGCUCUUGAUUGAGUAUCAUUAUCCUCCUGUUGUCUAGGAAGAUGAUUGUUAUAAUUAGCCACAAAUGUCAUGGGCAACUAUAAUUUACCUUUUCCUGUAACAACUGAUAGUUUACCUUUUCAAUGCCUCCUUUUAUCUUCCCACCAUGGGGCUUUCCCCAUCCC
rnacentral:lncRNA from 1 species